CAGCAGCCGCGGUAACACGUAGGUGGCGAGCGUUGUCCGGAUUUAUUGGGCGUAAAGGGAGUGUAGGCGGUCUUUUAAGUCUGAUGUGAAAGCCCACGGCUCAACCGUGGAGGGUCAUUGGAAACUGGGAGACUUGAGUGCAGAAGAGGAGAGCGGAAUUCCAUGUGUAGCGGUGAAAUGCGUAGAUAUAUGGAGGAACACCAGUGGCGAAGGCGGCUCUCUGGUCUGUAACUGACGCUGAGGCUCGAAAGCGUGGGGAGCAAACAGGAUUAGAUACCCGCGUAGUCCCUGUCUCUUAUCC
rnacentral:rRNA from 1 species